rnacentral:snRNA from 1 species
AUCGCUUCUCGGCCUUUUGGCUAAGAUCAAGUGUAGUAUCUGUUCUUAUCAGUUUAAUAUCAUUAGUCAUUAGAGAAAUGCAUAUCAAAAUCACAAUGAAAUACCACUC